rnacentral:rRNA from 1 species
UACCGGCAGCACGAGUGAUGACCGAUAUUAUUGGGCCUAAAGCGUCCGUAGCCGGCCAAACAAGUCCGUUGGGAAAUCCACGCGCUCAACGCGUGGGCGUCCGGCGGAAACUGUUUGGCUUGGGGCCGGAAGACCUGAGGGGUACGUCCGGGGUAGGAGUGAAAUCCUGUAAUCCUGGACGGACCACCGUUGGCGAAAGCGCCUCAGGAAGACGGACCCGACGGUGAGGGACGAAAGCUAGGGUCUCGAA